GCUUACGGCCAUACCACCCUGAGAACGCCCGAUCUUGUCUGAUCUCGGAAGCUAAGCAGGGUCGGGCCUGGUUAGUACUUGGAUGGGAGACCGCCUGGGUAUACCAGGUGCUGUAAGCU
rnacentral:rRNA from 1 species